CCUCCACAUAGGCAAAGACCCCAAGAGAUUGACAAGCUGCCUCUUGUUUCUGUGUCUACAGGUAGAGAUGGACUCCCAAGAUAGAGUUGGGAGAGGUCUAGCAGGGAGAAGAAACUGAACUGGGUAGAGCCAAGGGGCUUGAUGUGGACGAACGUCUCGUGUCUCAAGCAGAGGGAAGGCGAGCUCUAUUUACAGUAGACUACAAAAAGAAACAAUUUGUGCAAGCUCAUCCUAUUCCUGAGUGUGAUAUUUGUCCACAUCAUAAAACCACAGGAUGCAAUGUGUCUGACAUUACCCCCAAAUGAUAUAAUCUGGCUUAAUGAUGUUAUAAUAAAUCCCAAAUGAACUAACCAUCAUUGGGCAGCCAUUUCAAAGUGUUCCUGAAAUAGUUUUUACAGAAUAAAGUAUUUGUUUGCCAAGCACUGUUCAGACACUCACACCAGGCUUAGGGAGUUAGGUCAGACACACACAUUUACACAUCUUGUGGCUUUUUCUCUUGGCUGGAAUUCUUGUCUUUUUUUUUUUUUAAAGAAAAUCAAAGUGUUUUGUAACUUCUUUUUUUAAUAUUAAAGAUGAGAUUGGGCGUUUUCUCAGAGUAAUAGAAUGUCUCCCAGGGUGGUGUUUCCUUCUGUUCAAAAUCAGCAGUUUAGGGAUUACUUGGUUAAUGAAAGCCAAUGACCUUUCAUCUCAGGCCUCACCUCCGUGGGCUGUGAGCAGACUGCUCACCACUUUCUCUGGUCAUGGGUUCUGAAGUUUCCCUCUGCAUGUGUGUUUUUUGCAAACCUCACUGAAGCCUUCAUCAUUAUUUAUGCACUGCACCCAUCUUCUUCUCGCCAUUCUCCUUAUAUAGAGCUGAAAUCUGCAUCUCUACAGCCUCUACCCACCAGCCUUCUGGGGCCAAGAAAAACAAACCUGAUCCAUCUUCCACAUGACAGUCCUUCACAUACUUCAUGCUUUAACAUUUUGAGGACCUAUGAUUUCAUCAGUGUGGAUCCACCCUCCACUGAUACAAAUCAUAGCUCUUCUAAGCCUUAGUAGAGGUUCUUCUUCCUCAUAACCAAAAAUGGCAAUUUAAUGAAGACCACCCCCUAAUAAGGAAUACACAGAGAGGAAACUCCUUCAACCAGUGCAGAUGGGUAACUGUCCA
rnacentral:lncRNA from 1 species